rnacentral:rRNA from 1 species
UACAGAGGGAGCGAGCGUUGUUCGGAGUUACUGGGCGUAAAGGGUGUGUAGGCGGUUUUCUAAGUUUGGUGUGAAAUCUCCCGGCUUAACCGGGAGGGUGCGCCGAAAACUGGGAGACUAGAGUGCGGGAUGGGAGAGUAGAAUUCCUGGUGUAGCGGUGAAAUGCGUAGAUAUCAGGAGGAAUACCGGUGGUGCAGACGGCUCUCUGGACCGCAACUGACGCUGAGACACGAAAGCGUGGGUAGCAAACAGG